rnacentral:ncRNA from 1 species
GAUAACAGGUUGAUCUUCACUCAACGUGGAACAUCGACGAGAAGGUUUGACACCUCGAUGUCGGCUCUUCGCCACCUAGGUUCCAAGGGUUGGGCUAUUUGCCCAUUAAAGUGGUACGUGAGUUGGGUUUAGAACAUCGUGAGACAGUUC